GAAGCUGUGGCUUAGUGGUAUAGCAUCUGCUUUCCAUGCAGAAGGUCCCGGGUUCAAUCCCUGGCAUCUCCA